rnacentral:misc_RNA from 1 species
UUAAGUUCAGCGGGUAUCCCUACCUGAUCCGAGGUCAACCUGUAAAGUUAGGGGUUGGUGGCAAGCACACACCUAAACUCCAUAGCGAAAAGUUUUACUACGCUAGAAGCCAAGUGGCAUCGCCACUGAUUUUAAGAUGCACCAAUUAAAAUGGUGACAUCCAAUACCAAGCAGAGCUUGAGGGUUGUAAUGACGCUCGA